rnacentral:rRNA from 1 species
GGACCCGCACAAGUAGUGGAGCAUGUGGUUUAAUUCGAAGAUACGCGCAGAACCUUACCAACACUUGACAUGUUCGUCGCGACUUUAAGAGAUUAAAGUUUUCGGUUCGGCCGGACGAAACACAGUUGCUGCAUGGCUGUCGUCAGCUCGUGUCGUGAGAUGUUGGGUUAAGUCCCGCAACGAGCGCAACCCUCACUUUUAGUUGCCAUCAUUAAGUUGGGCACUCUGAAAGAACUGCCAGUGAUAAGCUGGAGGAAGGUGGGGAUGACGUCAAGUCCUCAUGGCCCUUACGUGUUGGGCUACACACGUGCUACAAUGGUACUUACAACAGGAAGCAAAACGGCGACGUUAAGCAAAUCCUUAAAAGAUACCUCAGUUCGGAUUGCACUCUGCAACUCGAGUGCAUGAAGCUGGAAUUACUAGUAAUCG